GUUUGAUGACCGCAGCUCCACCUAGAGCUGGCCCAGGGCGCCCGGGGACGCUUCAUUUCCUGGUGUUCAAUGGGUUGCAAGAAGCAGGAGCUUGUUGCUGCCUUCCAUGGCAUCCUCUCAAGACCACAGAUCUACCACUAGUACUAAAAAAUCCAGUGAAACAAAUAUUGGAAGAUUUUUUAAAGGAGUUUUACAGUACUGGUCUUCUUAACUUCCAGAUUUCCUCUGGUAGCAGGAAUGGAAUUUGGACUCCAUCCAGACACAGAACCAGGGCACAGAACUUUAGGAGACUCAGUAAAAAAUCAAGGACUGUAUAUGAAGGAAAGCAAGGUCUACUAACUUGCCAUUCCCAAAUAUUUGUCUAAUGUAAGUUGUGUUAUGUUUAUUGUUAUUAUUUGUGCUUGUGAAUCAAGUACAUUCUGAUUGAAUGCUGAAUUAUGACAAUAUAUUGGAUUAUAAUUUGAUUAUUUUCCUUAUUUUCUCUCCAUCAGUUUCUAAAUUUAAUUUCCUGAUACUCCUGUGUGUCUUUAAUUUGGUAAAUAUUCCUGUCAUCCUGCAGAAGAUUAGAAAACUCAAGCUUGUUUAUAAAACUCUCUUACUUGUCCUCUAGUAAAGUUCACAUAUGCAAAUACUAUUUUUGUAUAUUCAAAUUAAGUAUAGCUAUUUGUAGUCACAGUCUCUAUCUUAUUUGCAUGCAAAAUGUACACGUUCAGUCUGAAAGUUAUUUAAGAAGGCAGCUCCAAGCAAUUUCAACUCACUUUUCAAACCAAUAAAUGAA